rnacentral:lncRNA from 1 species
CUCUGUUUUGUCUAUUGUGCACAUCGAGGCCUUGGAUGUUCCACCUUUUGUUUUAAAUUGAUUAAAUAAAUGUCAGGUGAAGGAAACAAAGGUACUUCUGAAAGUUUUUCAGUUUGAAUGAUCAGUGUUAAAGGUUAGUCCUCUAAGAUCACCACUUCUGUUCACUUCUUCCUUCCUCUCUUCUCUCCAAAGGGGCGCGAGCGUCGGACCACAGCAGAGUUGCCAUUCUCAACCACUCAGCAUCACUAUGUUGCAACAUCGUGCUGAAGGAGGUCUUUAUUCUGGAGAAAGCAGCGUGGUAGCAGAGAAGAAAGAAGCCAUUAAGAGCAUCAAGACACGCUAAAUGGAACGCUGCUACCUGC